GGGAGGAUGGCCGAGCGGACGAAGGCGACGGUCUUGAAAACCGUUAGCGGGGCAACUCGCUCGUGGGUUCGAAUCCCACUCCUCCCG
rnacentral:tRNA from 2 species